rnacentral:rRNA from 1 species
CUCGCUUACGAGUGGGCGUCCGGCGAAAACUGCUCGGCUUGGGACCGGAAGAUCCAAGGGGUACGUCCGGGGUAGGAGUGAAAUCCCGUAAUCCUGGACGGACCACCGAUGGCGAAAGCACCUUGGAAGGACGGAUCCGACAGUGAGGGACGAAAGCUAGGGUCUCGAACCGGAUUAGAUACCCGGGUAGUCCUAGCCGUAAACGAUGCUCGCUAGGUGUGGCGCAGGCUACGAGCCUGCGCUGUGCCGUAGGGAAGCCGUGAAGCGAGCCGCCUGGGAAGUACGUCUGCAAGGAUGAAACUUAAAGGAAUUGGCGGGGGAGCACUACAACCGGAGGAGCCUGCGGUUUAAUUGGACUCAACGCCGGACAUCUCACCAGCUCCGACAGCAGUAAUGACGGUCAGGUUGAUGACCUUACCCGACGCUGCUGAGAGGAGGUGCAUGGCCGCCGUCAGCUCGUACCGUGAGGCGUCCUGUUAAGUCAGGCAACGAGCGAGACCCGCACCUCUAGUUGCCAGCAGCAUCUUGCGAUGGCUGGGUACACUAGGGGGACUGCCGUCGCUAAGACGGAGGAAGGAACGGGCAACGGUAGGUCCGCAUGCCCC